rnacentral:misc_RNA from 1 species
GGCUCGGUCCCGUACCUAGGCGUCUAUAGCUGUGGAUACAUGACGUAAUUCCUCUUCCUGUGCUUCCUGUGCUAAUGAACAAUCUCGGAUAUAUCGCUUUAUUGUUUUCCUUUGUGGCUUCUGUACUGCCAUUAAGAUUAAUAAACAGGCACCGUGUACACUU